AACGCGAAGAACCUUACCUAGACUUGACAUGUGGGGACAGACACGGAACGUGUCCUUCCGCAAGGACCGCCACACAGGUGCUGCAUGGCUGUCGUCAGCUCGUGCCGUGAGGUGUUGGGUUAAGUCCCGCAACGAGCGCAACCCUUGUCACUAGUUGCCAACACGUAAUGGUGAGCACUCUAGUGAGACUGCCUAGGUUAACUAGGAGGAAGGUGAGGAUGAUGUCAAGUCCGCAUGGCCCUUACGUCUAGGGCCACACACGUGCUACAAUGGUCGGUACAAUGGGCAGCAAGACCGAAAGGUGGAGCAAAUCCCCAAAGCCGACCCCAGUUCAGAUAGAGGUCUGCAACUCGACCUCUUGAAGUUGGAAUUGCUAGUAAUGGCGUGUCAGCUAUAACGCCGUGAAUACGUUCCCGGGCCUUGUACACACCGGAGUA
rnacentral:rRNA from 1 species